rnacentral:tRNA from 1 species
AUUUAUAUAGUAUAAAUAUAAUUACAUUUAAUUUCCAAUUAAAAAAUUUAAUAAACUUAAAUAUAUUAAUAUAAAUA